rnacentral:rRNA from 1 species
UUGAACGCUGGCGGCAGGCCUAACACCUGCAAGUCGAACGGUAACAGGAAACAGCUUGCUGUUUCGCUGACGAGUGGCGGACGGGUGAGUAAUGUCUGGGAAACUGCCUGAUGGAGGGGGAUAACUACUGGAAACGGUAGCUAAUACCGCAUAACGUCGCAAGACCAAAGAGGGGGACCCUCGGGCCUCUUGCCAUCGGAUGUGCCCAGAUGGGAUUAGCUUGUUGGUGGGGUAACGGCUCACCAAGGCGACGAUCCCUAGCUGGUCUGAGAGGAUGACCAGCCACACUGGAACUGAGACACGGUCCAGACUCCUACGGGAGGCAGCAGUGGGGAAUAUUGCACAAUGGGCGCAAGCCUGAUGCAGCCAUGCCGCGUGUAUGAAGAAGGCCUUCGGGUUGUAAAGUACUUUCAGCGGGGAGGAAGGGAGUAAAGUUAAUACCUUUGCUCAUUGACGUUACCCGCAGAAGAAGCACCGGCUAACUCCGUG